rnacentral:tRNA from 1 species
AGAAGUUUAGGUUAACCAACCCGCCAAACCAGAAGCCUUCAAAGCUUCAAACAGACAAAAAGUCUAACUUCUG